AAUCAACGCUGGCGGCGUGCCUCAGACAUGCAAGUCGAACGCGAAAGUCCCCUUCGGGGGGCAAGUAGAGUGGCGCACGGGUGAGUAAUGCUUAGGAAUCUGCCUAGUAGUGGGGGAUAACCCGGGGAAACUCGGGCUAAUACCGCAUACGCCCUACAGGGGAAAGCGGGGGACUUUCGGGCCUCGCGCUAUUAGAUGAGCCUAAGUCCGAUUAGCUAGUUGGUAGGGUAAUGGCCUACCAAGGCGACGAUCGGUAGCUGGUCUGAGAGGACGACCAGCCACACUGGGACUGAGACACGGCCCAGACUCCUACGGGAGGCAGCAGUGGGGAAUAUUGGACAAUGGGCGCAAGCCUGAUCCAGCGAUGCCGCGUGUGUGAAGAAGGCCUGCGGGUUGUAAAGCACUUUCAGUAGGGAAGAAAAGCCGAGU
rnacentral:rRNA from 1 species